UGGAAGAAUCUUGGAGUUGGGAAUGUCACACGUAAUUGAAGGAAGAACAAGAAAACUAUAGCAGCUGCUCCCAACCCCAGAACCUUUGCUGUCUUGGGACGGAUCACCGCUGCAAGAGGGGAAGUUGCUACUGUGAUGAAUUCUGCCAUGUGGCACCAGACUGCCACCCAGACCACAGUGUCCUCUGCAACCCUGGUAACUCACAUACAGGCCCGAUUCCACCUACAGCAAAGCUGGAUGCGAUGGCUGGCAGAGGCAAACCCUUUGCCUGCACUUCAGGCCAAAGCCGGGAUGUGGCCUAGAUGGUUCCUAAGCUUCUCAGAUGACCAAGAUGGUGCUGCAGAUGGUGCUGAGGAUGGAGAACCCACCAAGCCCCGCUAGGAGCCACCUAGACUGGAUGCAGAGCAUGGUUCAGCGAGUUCUCCAAACCAGCCUCCCAGGAAUGCCAUUCACCAUGGCUGUGAGGAGAAUAAAGAAGAGAGCCUGACUCCUCUCCUGAGGCCCCUUCCCCACCCUGAGCCAGCA
rnacentral:misc_RNA from 1 species